rnacentral:rRNA from 1 species
GUGGGGAAUAUUGGACAAUGGGCGCAAGCCUGAUCCAGCCAUGCCGCGUGAGUGAUGAAGGCCCUAGGGUUGUAAAGCUCUUUCACCGGAGAAGAUAAUGACGGUAUCCGGAGAAGAAGCCCCGGCUAACUUCGUGCCAGCAGCCGCGGUAAUACGAAGGGGGCGAGCGUUAUUCGGAAUCACUGGGCGUAAAGCGCACGUAGGCGGAUCGUUAAGUCGAGGGUGAAAUCCUGGAGCUCAACUCCAGAACUGCCUUCGAUACUGGCGAUCUUGAGUCCGGAAGAGGUGAGUGGAACUCCUAGUGUAGAGGUGGAAUUCGUAGAUAUUAGGAAGAACACCAGUGGCGAAGGCGGCUCACUGGUCCGGUACUGACGCUGAGGUGCGAAAGCGUGGGGAGCAAACAGGAUUAGAUACCCUUGUAGUCC